UACGGAGGAUGCGAGCGUUAUCCGGAUUUAUUGGGUUUAAAGGGUGCGUAGGCGGUCCGUUAAGUCAGCGGUAAAAUUGCGGGGCUCAACCCCGUCGAGCCGUUGAAACGGUCAGACUUGAGUUGGCGAGAAGUACGCGGAAUGCGCGGUGUAGCGGUGAAAUGCAUAGAUAUCGCGCAGAACUCCGAUUGCGAAGGCAGCGUACCGGCGCCACACUGACGCUGAGGCACGAAAGCGUGGGGAUCGAACAGG
rnacentral:rRNA from 1 species